rnacentral:lncRNA from 1 species
CUAGAAGGGGAGGGAAAUGGUAAGCUCAAAAAGAAAAACAUUAAAAUGCACAUUACAACCGUCAACAAUGGUCUGCCUUGCGAAGAGCACUUGGGCACCAAGCAAAUUUCAAACCUUAUAAAAGCUAAAAGGCUGCAAAAAGAAAGGGUUCAAACAUUUUCACAUAGAGGAAGAAGGGAACAAAUUCAGCUUUUGGAAACAAGAUUGAAGGAUUAAAAUUUAUAUUUCAAUGUGUAAUUCUUACCAUGAGUAGAAGAAUCUCUCUAGAUUAGGAUGAAGAUGAAUAUCUUUUGAUCUAUUUGAGCUAUGUAAUUCGUGUGAUUCUAUGCAAUUGAGUUCAUAUGCUUAUUCAAUCAUCCUUUUGUUUAAUGAUUCUCAAACUCUGGCCUUUUAUGAAUUGAAAUUUGGCACAGUUUACUUUUGGAAAAUAGUUUAAUGAUUCUAUGUAUACGAUUGCUAUAGGAAUAUAAAAUCGCUCACAUGUAAUUGUAAAAAAAAAAAUCACUUUUCUGUAAAUUAAUUACAAACCAUAUGUAUACAAACUUUUUAUUAUUUA